rnacentral:lncRNA from 1 species
UUCUAUGGCUGAUAUAGUCAGAUGAUUGAUAACUCCACAUUUUGAUCACCAUUAUGGAUCGUUUUUAAGCAUUUUAAAUAUAUAUAUUUUUAAGUGUUAUUAUUAUGGUUUUCUAGUAUUUAUAGUUUGAAUACUAUUUUCAGGAAAUUUAGACAAAAGCUUUGCAAACUAGAUAGAAGACCACAUUUUCAUCUCAGAGUCAAACCGUCAUAAGCUCACCCACAAAUGAAGACCUUCUCAACGUAUGAUCCAGCUCAAAUUUGUAGAUCUUGAAGAUGAAUCAGAUAGCUUCCUGCACAUUUGACAUGAGGACAAUCCACGGUUCAAUCAAAAGUUACGCGAAGAACAAGAAGUCCAUUCAAGCAACAGGCCAGCCUUCCGGACCGCAGCCAGCACAUGAUUUACCACAGCCAGAGAGCCCAUGACCGCGGAGAAUCAACGUUCAGCCUCAGAAGCCCAAUUUCAAGC